UACGGAGGGGGCUAGCGUUGUUCGGAAUUACUGGGCGUAAAGCGCACGUAGGCGGACUGUUAAGUCGGGGGUGAAAUCCCGGGGCUCAACCCCGGAAUGGCCUUCGAUACUGGCGGUCUUGAGGUCUGGAGAGGUGAGUGGAAUUCCGAGUGUAGAGGUGAAAUUCGUAGAUAUUCGGAGGAACACCAGUGGCGAAGGCGGCUCACUGGCCAGAUACUGACGCUGAGGUGCGAAAGCGUGGGGAGCAAACAGG
rnacentral:rRNA from 1 species